CGGUUGAUCCUGCCGGAGGCCACUGCUAUUGGGAUUCGAUUAAGCCAUGCGAGUCGAGAGGGUUCGGCCCUCGGCAGACUGCUCAGUAACACGUGGAUAACUUACCCUUAGGUGGAGGAUAAUCUCGGGAAACUGAGAAUAAUACUCCAUAGAUCUAGGCUGCUGGAAUGCAUCUAGAUCAAAGGCUCCGGCGCCUAAGGAUAGGUCUGCGGACUAUCAGGUUGUAGUCAGGGUAAAGACCUGACUAGCCUACGACGGAUAUGGGUUGUGAGAGCAAUAGCCCAGAGACGAUAUCUGAGACACGAUAUCGGGCCCUACGGGGCGCAGCAGGCGCGAAAUCUUCACAAUGUGCGAAAGCACGAUGAGGGAAUCCCAAGUGCUAGCACGUAAGUGUUAGCUGUUUCUAAGUCUAAAAAACUCAGAGAGUAAGGGCUGGGUAAGACGGGUGCCAGCCGCCGCGGUAAUACCUGCAGCUCAAGUGGUGGCCGCUAUUAUUGGGCCUGAAACGUCCGUAGCCUGUUUAGUAAUGCUUGGGUAAAUUGUGUAGCUUAACUAUACGAAUACCGGGUAGACUGCUAAACUUGGGACCGGGAGAGGCUAGAGGUACUCCUGGGGUAGAGGUGAAAUUCUGUAAUCCUAGGGGGACCACCAGUGGCGAAGGCGUCUAGCUAGAACGGGUCUGACGGUGAGGGACGAAGCCCUGGGGCGCGAACCGGAUUAGAUACCCGGGUAGUCCAGGGUGUAAACGCUGCUUGCUUGAUGUUAGUUGGGCUCCGAGCCCAACUAGUGUCGGAGAGAAGUUGUUAAGCAAGCUGCCUGGGAAGUACGGUCGCANACUGAACUUAAAGGAAUUGGCGGGGAGCAC
rnacentral:rRNA from 1 species